AUAGGGCGGGUGCUAGCUUGAAUUGUAAUAACUAAAAGUAAAGCCCACGCCGUCGGUCAGUCAAGUAGGAAAUGAACUGGCCUGGACUCAGCGAGGGAACUUCAUACGAAACUGGCAGGCUUGUGUUUUGUAGAGGGGGGUAGACUUGCAGGAGCAGCGAUGAAAUGCGUAUUGAUUUGGAGGAAUACCGGCGGAGAAGGCGGCCCCGUCGACAAAGACCGAUGUUCAGGUGAGAAAGCGUGGGCAGCCAACAGGAUUAGAUACCGUGGUAGUCCACGCCGUAAACGAUGUCGAUUUGGAGGUUGCGCCCUUGAGGCGUGGCUUCCGGAGCUAACGCGUUAAAUCGACCGCCUGGGGAGUACGGCCGCAAGGUUAAAACUCAAAUGAAUUGACGGGGGCCCGCACAAGCGGUGGAGCAUGUGGUUUAAUUCGAUGCAACGCGAAGAACCUUACCUGGUCUUGACAUCCACAGAACUUAGCAGAGAUGGUUUGGUGCCUUCGGGAACUGUGAGACAGGUGCUGCAUGGCUGUCGUCAGCUCGUGUUGUGAAAUGUUGGGUUAAGUCCCGCAACGAGCGCAACCCUUAUCCUUUGUUGCCAGCGGUUCGGCCGGGAACUCAAAGGAGACUGCCAGUGAUAAACUGGAGGAAGGUGGGGAUGACGUCAAGUCAUCAUGGCCCUUACGACCAGGGCUACACACGUGCUACAAUGGCGCAUACAAAGAGAAGCGACCUCGCGAGAGCAAGCGGACCUCAUAAAGUGCGUCGUAGUCCGGAUUGGAGUCUGCAACUCGACUCCAUGAAGUCGGAAUCGCUAGUAAUCGUAGAUCAGAAUGCUACGGUGAAUACGUUCCCGGGCCUUGUACACACCGCCCGUCACACCAUGGGAGUGGGUUGCAAAAGAAGUAGGUAGCUUAACCUUCGGGAGGGCGCU
rnacentral:rRNA from 1 species